UACAGAGGUCCCAAGCGUUGUUCGGAUUCAUUGGGCGUAAAGGGUGCGUAGGCGGCGCGGUAAGUCGGGUGUGAAAUCUCGGGGCUUAACUCCGAAACUGCAUUCGAUACUGCCGUGCUUGAGGACUGGAGAGGAGACUGGAAUUUACGGUGUAGCGGUGAAAUGCGUAGAUAUCGGAAGGAACAUCAGUGGCGAAAGCGGCUUCCUGGACCAGCACCGACGUUCAGGCACGAAAGCGUGGGGAGCAAACAGG
rnacentral:rRNA from 1 species